AAAACACAGAAAAUAAACUUCUUUUUACUUUAUGUAGUAAAAUAAUUUUCUUUUUUCCUUAACUUUGAAUCUACUCAUAAAUCUUCAGACAAGCACAGAUAAUGAAGAUUGUUCCAGAUAAGGUGAGAUUGAAAUGGGAAGAUAUCCAGCUGUGACCAGAAAUGUAUUUUCCAGAGUAUAGAUUGCACACAAAUUUGUGAAUGAAGAGGACCCAUCUGUAUCUCCUUUAAAUUAUUCAGUUCUCUGCUUUAUUUCCCCGUGCUGAGGAUUUAAUUGUUGAGUUGUACAUUACUGUAUUUUAACUUGUUGCUUAGUUUCUUACACAUUUAUUUUCAGUACCUGGCUGAAAGUGUUACCUAUUCCAUAUUUUAGCACAAUGUGCUGCAAACAAACAGUUGCCAUAGUGCAAAUGAGGUCUCGUGUACAGAGUUCCACAUUAGGUUGUCAAAAAUACUGCCUGAGUUUAGUAAUUCUUUCAAUCUGAAAUGCAUUCUUUUAGAUGUUUGAAAAACACCAAUAAACAGUUAUUGAACCUUUUUGGAUUUACCUCAUUUAAACUCAGUUUUUAUUUAUUACUUGGCCUGUUUUUAAUAUCAGUGACCUAAAAAAAAAAAGUCAAGUGGGAGCACUGUUUUCACGCAAUGCUUAGGGAUUAUUUGUAUAUUAUGUGUACAACGUUGACUUGUUUAAAGAAACAAAGAAUGAACCCUGUCCCUUCCAUCCCAGCCUAAAUCUGUGCUCGGUUGUCCCUUGCCACACCUUUUGUUUGUUAUGUUGUUUUUAGAUCGAUUGGAAAUGCUCUCUUCAAAACUGAAAUAAAUUAAGUUACAAUUACAGCUACAGGAGCUUUGUAUUGCUGAACUUUAGUCUGAAAAGUUUCACAAUGACAUUUUUAAAAAAAGAAAAAAAAUAAUUUUUUUAUCUGCUGAAUUCUACCAGUGUAACCUUUUUUCUAAAUAAACAAUAGUUUUCUCAAUGGGUCGUAAA